rnacentral:rRNA from 1 species
UACGUAGGGUGCAAGCGUUGUUCGGAAUUAUUGGGCGUAAAGAGCUCGUAGGCGGUUUGUUGCGUCGGCUGUGAAAUCCCGAGGCUCAACCUCGGGUCUGCAGUCGAUACGAGCAAACUAGAGUGUUGCAGGGGAGACUGGAAUUCCUGGUGUAGCGGUGAAAUGCGCAGAUAUCAGGAGGAACACCGAUGGCGAAGGCAGGUCUCUGGGCCACUACUGACGCUGAGAAGCGAAAGCAUGGGGAGCGAACAGG